rnacentral:rRNA from 1 species
CUUUAAUUAUCUAAAAGUAUCCUUUAGCUUUAUAAUUUUUAAUAUUAACUCUUUUGAUGUAAUAAACACAAAAUAAAUCUAUGCAACGGAUAACGACAUGGAAAAUUUUAAAAUGGUAAAUCAAUGUGCCAGCUACCGCGGUUAUACAUUAAUAUAAUAAUUUUACUAUCUUGUUUUUUUUAUAGCCUAUUUUAACAAAAUUAUUAUAUAAAUUUAAGUGAAAUUAUUUUAUCCACUAUUCAAUCUACAAAAAAUAAAUUUAGAAGAAAAACCAGGAUUAGAAACCCUGUUAUUCUAAAUUUUAAAAACAAAGAAGUAACAUUAAACUUAAACUUAAUUAGGAUGGCGGUAAAAUUUUAUUAGAGGAGGUUGUUCUUUAAUCGAUAACCCUCGUUUAUUUCUUUUUCUAAAUUAUGUAUAUCGCCGUUGAAGUUUAAUUUUAAAAUUAAACUUUUUUACAUAAGCCUUUUGUGUGUCAACAGGUCAAGAUACAAAUAAUGUAAAAGUAUGAAAUGACCUACAAAUAAAUCAAAUUUAAAUGUCAGUUCAAUUAUGUAUAUCACAUAAAUUACUUUACACAGGAUUUAAAUGUAAUUUUAUCUAUUUUAUAUAAUACAAUGAUUUUGUAUCAUUUUAUGCACAUAUCGCCCGUCACCCUCCUAUCAGAGGUAAGUCGUAACAAAGUAGAUUUUUUGGAAAAAGAAUCUAGAUU